UGGGGAGUAGCCAAGUGGUAAGGCAACGGACUUUGACUCCGUCAUUCGUAGGUUCGAUCCCUACCUCCCCAGCCA
rnacentral:tRNA from 1 species